CCUACGGGAGGCAGCAGUAGGGAAUCUUCCACAAUGCUCGAAAGCCUGACGCAGCAACGCCGCGUGGAUGAAGAAGGCCUUCGGAUCGUAAAACCCUUUUGUUAGAGAAGAAAAUGCGUGAGAGUAACUGUUCACGUUUCGACGGUAUCUGACUACAAAGCCACGGCUAACUACGUGCCAGCAGCCGCGGUAAUACGUAGGGGGCAAGCGUUAUCCGGAGUGACUGGGCGUAAAGGGAACGUAGGCGGUGUUGUAAGUCUGUUGUGAAAGACUUGGGCUGAACCGUAGUAAGGCUAGUGAUACUGGGAGACUUGAGUGUAGAAGAGGAGAGUGGAAGUCCUUGUGUAGCGGUGAAAUGCGUAGAUAUAAGGAGGAAUACCGGUGGCGAAGGCGGCAAUCUGGUCUGUAACUGACGCUGAGGUGCGAAAGCGUGGGUAGCAAACAGGAUUAGAUACCCUAGUAGUC
rnacentral:rRNA from 1 species